rnacentral:rRNA from 1 species
CUACGAGGCGCAGCAGUGGGGAAUCUUGCGCAAUGGGCGAAAGCCUGACGCAGCAACGCCGCGUGCGGGAAGAAGGCUUUCGGGCUGUAAACCGCUUUCAGUAGGAACGAAACUGACGGUACCUACAGAAGAAGGAGCGGCCAACUAUGUGCCAGCAGCCGCGGUGACACAUAGGCUCCAAGCGUUGUCCGGAUUUAUUGGGCGUAAAGAGCUCGUAGGCGGUUGAGUAAGUCGAGUGUGAAAACUUCGGGCUUAACCCGAAGACGCCACUCGAUACUGCUCUGACUUGAGUUCGGUAGGGGAGUGGGGAAUUCCUUGUGUAGCGGUGAAAUGCGCAGAUAUAAGGAGGAACACCGGUGGCGAAGGCGCCACUCUGGACCGAAACUGACGCUGAGGAGCGAAAGCGUGGGUAGCAAACAGGAUUAGAUACCCGAGUAGUC